GACGAACGCUGGCGGCGUGCUUAACACAUGCAAGUCGAACGGAAAGGCCCUGCUUUUGUGGGGUGCUCGAGUGGCGAACGGGUGAGUAACACGUGAGUAACCUGCCCUUGACUUUGGGAUAACUUCAGGAAACUGGGGCUAAUACCGGAUAGGAGCUCCUGCUGCAUGGUGGGGGUUGGAAAGUUUCGGCGGUUGGGGAUGGACUCGCGGCUUAUCAGCUUGUUGGUGGGGUAGUGGCCUACCAAGGCUUUGACGGGUAGCCGGCCUGAGAGGGUGAACGGCCACAUGGGUACUAAGAGACGGAGCAGACGCGUAUGGGAGGCAGCAGGCGGGAAUAUGACACAAUGGGCGGGAGCCUGAUGCAACAACGCCGCGUGCGGGAUGACGGCCUGCGGGUUGUAAACAGCUUUCGCCUGUGACGAAGCGGUAGUGACGGUAAUGAGUAAAGAAGCACCGGCUAACUACGUG
rnacentral:rRNA from 1 species